GAGCUGCCACUGGGCUUGACUUUUUCAUUUGUUAUUCUCCAAACAUAAGUGUUAAAACAUAGCUUUUAUCUGACUUAGGUAUUGGGCAGCCCCUUCUUACAAGGAAGUCCAGAUCUGAACUUCUGACCUCUGCAAGUCAUAGAACUAUUUGAGUUGGAGCGGCCUGUAAAAGAUUGGAAGCCCCCCAUGACUGGUGUCACCAAUUGGCAGGAGAGCUGCCAUGACUGAACAUACACUUGAAAAAGACACACAUAUUAAAGUCAGUAUCCCAGUUGUCCCAUGUUCUUAAUUAA
rnacentral:lncRNA from 1 species